rnacentral:misc_RNA from 1 species
UUGUAAUUGUAAAAAUAGAUUAUUAAUGGCAUAACAGUGUAUAGAAAGUAUGACUUCCAGUGAAAUAAUCAAAGAUUGUUCGACAGGAACUAAUUUAAAUUGGGAUGAAGAAGAACUUAAACUAUUUAAAGAGCUUGUUCUCGAAGACAAAGAUUUAAAGUGCAGAACGGAUGAUAUUUUCCUUUUAAGUUUUUUGCGUGCGAAGAAAUUCGAUAGGGAAAAAGCAUUUAUUUUAUUAAAGAAUUAUUAUGAAGUUAGAAGAAGAAUUUAUAAAGAUUUUUUUACAAAUUUAACUCCUUCUGCUGUAAGUAAAUGUUUAAAUGAUAAAAUUGUCGGCUAUCUACCCAAUACCGAUCAAAAUGGACGGGUCAUUGGAGUUCUAAUAGUUCGUCGAUGGAAUCAUAACACUGUUUCGCCAUUAGAUGUGUUACGAACGAUGAUAAUCGGUAACGAUUUGUUACUCAACGAACAUUUAUUGCAGAUUAAUGGAUUAACAAGUAUAAUUGAUGCAAAAGAUGUUACUUUAAGACAAGUAUUCCAUGCAACACCAAGAAUGAUAUCUUUAGCAGUAUCAGCUCUCUAUAAAUCCUAUCCUAUAAGAUAUAAAGAAUUUCACAUCAUCAAUAACAAUAAGUUAAUAAAAAUUGCAUUUGGAUUAGUUUUACCUUUUUUGCCUUAUAAAAUUAAGAAACGUAUUUAUAUCCAUAAUUCGGAUUUUAAUACCUUACACAAAUUUAUCGAUCCAAAAUAUCUUCCUAGUGAUUUUGGAGGGGAAUUAUCGGAGUAUGAUCCAUCGCAUUUUUACGAAAAAAUGAAAUUGUAUCAAUCGUUCUUUGAAGAAAAUGAAAAAUAUUGGAAAAAUUAGAAUAAAAGAGUGAUUCUUUUUAUUAAAAUUCAAUUCAAUCGAUAAAAUUCUCACUCUCUCAAGAAAACAACUAAUCGUUUUAUAGCAUCAGUAAUAGUCUGAAACUCUUCUGUAACAUUCUGCAUUUGUAACAUCAUCAAUAACAACUAAUAUUCUUCAGAGCAUCAGUAACAACUACAGUUGCCAACGUUCUUGUACAGAAUUUAAGACACUUCACGGUCACUGUAUGAUUGAGGACAUUGAUAACAAAGUAAUUUGUUAUAAAUAUUUGUUGACUAAUUAAAUUAUAAAACAUUAAAAUAAACAAUAAAUAAGAUUUAAAUUCAACAUUAGCAUUUUUACCAACAACGCUAGCUUAAUUGUAGUAUUUAAGUGUUGUGUAAUAAAAAUAUUAAAAGUAUUGUGUUCACUUGUGUAUCACAAUAAAGAAAGUUUUUAGUACUGAUGUCCUCAAUAUCAGUAUACAUUGUUCUAUCAGAGACAGUGUACGUAGCGUAUAUAAUUAAAAUACGGGUAUAUACAGUAUAUUAUUUAUCUUUUCAGCUGUAAAAAUGUCAUUUCAAUUGAAUUCGAAAUAGCAAAAAGAUUAGACGGGACACUUUAAUUAAUGGCACAUAAGAAUUACGACAAAUUGUAAAUACUCGUACAUUAAUUAAUUAUUAAUUCAUCGGAAAAACGAUGAGGGCAGGAGAAUGACGAAGAAAAGUGAAACUUGUUAUGAACGGAAAGUACUGUAUCUUAGUGAAAAAGACAAUAAAAGGCACAUUGUUAGGGUUCCAGAAAACCAUUUCGAACGCUGGAAAAAAUUAAUUCCACAUGAAAAUAAGGAAUUAACUACAAAGGCUCGUAUAUGUGACAAGCAUUUUAAAAAUCAAUUUUUAAUAAAAUCAUUCAGUCACACAAUCGAUGGCCAAUUAAUGCAGCUUCCACGUGAUUAACCAUUAUAGUACCCUGAAAGCGACAGUGUCCAUCAGAGAGAAAAGCUGAAGUUGUCGCCAAGAAGAAACAAGUUGAUCUUUCAGGUACUAGGUCCACUUUACCUAAAAAUAUUGGAAACGAUAAUCUACUGCCUAGUACUUGUAAUGACAAUGAUAGACGUACAACAACAUAUACAAACUCAGAAACAAUCAGAAAAAAGUUAUAAAAAUGACCAAACUAAAGUGUGAGGAAGGAACUGUAUAAAGCCUUGUGAAGCAAAAGUUUUUACAAUUUACAUUUCAAACAUUUUUUUUAAAUAAACAGUUUAUUAGUUAAAACAAAAUCAAAAAAAUUGUAAAAAGCUUUAAAGUUUGGCAUAGAUGUAAGAAAA